GACGAACGCUGGCGGCGUGCCUAAUACAUGCAAGUUGAGCGCUGAAGGUUGGUACUUGUACCGACUGGAUGAGCAGCGAACGGGUGAGUAACGCGUGGGGAAUCUGCCUUUGAGCGGGGGACAACAUUUGGAAACAGAUGCUAAUACCGCAUAACCACAGAAACCACAUGGUUUCUGUGUCAAAGAUGGUUUCGGCUAUCACUUUGGGAUGGACCCGCGGCGUAUUAGCUAGUUGGUAAGGUAAUGGCUUACCAAGGCAAUGAUACGUAGCCGAACUGAGAGGUUGAUCGGCCACAUUGGGACUGAGACACGGCCCAAACUCCUACGGGAGGCAGCAGUAGGGAAUCUUCCACAAUGGACGAAAGACUGAUGGAGCAACGCCGCGUGAGUGAAGAAGGUUUUCGGAUCGUAAAACUCUGUUGUCAGAGAAGAACGUGUGCGAGAGUAACUGUUCGUGCAGUGACGGUAUCUGGCCAGAAAGCCACGGCUAACUACGUGCCAGCAGCCGCAGUAA
rnacentral:rRNA from 1 species